UACGUAGGGUGCGAGCGUUGUCCGGAAUUACUGGGCGUAAAGAGCUCGUAGGUGGUUUGUCGCGUUGUUCGUGAAAACCGGGGGCUUAACCCUCGGCGUGCGGGCGAUACGGGCAGACUGGAGUACUGCAGGGGAGACUGGAAUUCCUGGUGUAGCGGUGGAAUGCGCAGAUAUCGGGAAGAACACCCGUGGCGAAGGCGGCUCUCUGGGACGGUACUGACGCUGAGACGCGAAAGCGUGGGGAGCGAACAGG
rnacentral:rRNA from 1 species